AUCAAUUAGCCAUUUAGAAAAGAAAAGAAAAAAAAAGGAAACGAGGCUGCUGUUUGCUUCCAGUGAAGGAUCAUCGAAGGAAAAAAAAUUCAAAACUCCAAUUCCUAAUUAAAGAGAGAAGUAAAAGAGGAAGAUUGAUCGAAGGAAGUCCUGUGGAUUGCUUGAGGUGACAAGCUUGGUAUUCGACACGAGUAUUAGAGGACAGGUGACAUUGGCGAGGAAUUUGUUAACUAAAGCUAGCAAGUUGGCAAAUUCAUGGUAAGCCCGCACUUGUUCGCGCGGCAUCAAGUUAUUCAUUGUUAUGGACCUUUCUUGAACUCAUAGAGUUGCUCUAUAGUCAUUCUUUUAUUUGAGUCAUACGUAUUCUUUCAUUAUUAUAGACGUGUGACUAGUUUUAAGCUUUUCUUCCAUUUUUGGAGAUAAAUUAGUAUUAUUGUGUGACGAAUAGAUUGAUAAUAGAUAUUAUGUCUUG